rnacentral:rRNA from 1 species
GAUGAACGCUGGCGGCGUGCCUAAUACAUGCAAGUCGAGCGAACGGACGAGAAGCUUGCUUCUCUGAUGUUAGCGGCGGACGGGUGAGUAACACGUGGAUAACCUACCUAUAAGACUGGGAUAACUUCGGGAAACCGGAGCUAAUACCGGAUAAUAUUUUGAACCGCAUGGUUCAAAAGUGAAAGACGGUCUUGCUGUCACUUAUAGAUGGAUCCGCGCUGCAUUAGCUAGUUGGUAAGGUAACGGCUUACCAAGGCAACGAUGCAUAGCCGACCUGAGAGGGUGAUCGGCCACACUGGAACUGAGACACGGUCCAGACUCCUACGGGAGGCAGCAGUAGGGAAUCUUCCGCAAUGGGCGAAAGCCUGACGGAGCAACGCCGCGUGAGUGAUGAAGGUCUUCGGAUCGUAAAACUCUGUUAUUAGGGAAGAACAUAUGUGUAAGUAACUGUGCACAUCUUGACGGUACCUAAUCAGAAAGCCACGGCUAACUACGUGCCAGCAGCCGCGGUAAUACGUAGGUGGCAAGCGUUAUCCGGAAUUAUUGGGCGUAAAGCGCGCGUAGGCGGUUUUUUAAGUCUGAUGUGAAAGCCCACGGCUCAACCGUGGAGGGUCAUUGGAAACUGGAAAACUUGAGUGCAGAAGAGGAAAGUGGAAUUCCAUGUGUAGCGGUGAAAUGCGCAGAGAUAUGGAGGAACACCAGUGGCGAAGGCGACUUUCUGGUCUGUAACUGACGCUGAUGUGCGAAAGCGUGGGGAUCAAACAGGAUUAGAUACCCUGGUAGUCCACGCCGUAAACGAUGAGUGCUAAGUGUUAGGGGGUUUCCGCCCCUUAGUGCUGCAGCUAACGCAUUAAGCACUCCGCCUGGGGAGUACGACCGCAAGGUUGAAACUCAAAGGAAUUGACGGGGACCCGCACAAGCGGUGGAGCAUGUGGUUUAAUUCGAAGCAACGCGAAGAACCUUACCAAAUCUUGACAUCCUUUGACAACUCUAGAGAUAGAGCUUUCCCCUUCGGGGGACAAAGUGACAGGUGGUGCAUGGUUGUCGUCAGCUCGUGUCGUGAGAUGUUGGGUUAAGUCCCGCAACGAGCGCAACCCUUAAGCUUAGUUGCCAUCAUUAAGUUGGGCACUCUAAGUUGACUGCCGGUGACAAACCGGAGGAAGGUGGGGAUGACGUCAAAUCAUCAUGCCCCUUAUGAUUUGGGCUACAUACGUGCUACAAUGGACAAUACAAAGGGCAGCGAAACCGCGAGGUCAAGCAAAUCCCAUAAAGUUGUUCUCAGUUCGGAUUGUAGUCUGCAACUCGACUACAUGAAGCUGGAAUCGCUAGUAAUCGUAGAUCAGCAUGCUACGGUGAAUACGUUCCCGGGUCU